rnacentral:lncRNA from 1 species
AGAUUAGAGAAAUGAAGCCUGCACAAACCCAGGGAGGUUUUCAGCAGACACGAGGGAUGGCAGCAAUCAUUCACCAGAAAGUCUCACAUAGGAGAUUUUCAUUGAUAGUGCAAACUUAAUUUGUAUAUCUAAAGAUGAAGUACCUUCCUUUUCCGGUAAAAGUCAUUUCCUUUGUCAGGGGACGUCUUUAUUGGCCUCAGAACCUCCUAAAAGAUUCCCAUAGCUUAUCUUCCUUCCAUUUCUAAGACUAGAGAGGAAUUUCUAAGAUGAAAUAGGGAAGUUAGGUUUAGCCAUGAGCUGAAGUCACAUAAAUAAUCUGCAAAUGUACUCAUCACAAGGAAAAGACUUUAAUGGUCCUUUCAUAAUCUUUUUCAAAGGAAAAAAAAAAAAGGAUAACCCUCAGCUUUAUUCUGACAUUUUCCCUCGAUGAUGCCAAUCAAGGCAUUUAUUGGUUAGUAUAACCAGAAGACUGUACUCAUGAAUAUUUUGACAUUUAAAGAAGGAUAAUAAAGGAACAGAUAUAUAAGCUUGCCUGCCAAAGGAUAUAGUGAUAUGCUGCAUAACAGCCACCUUGGCAAUAAUGUGCUUCUCCACUAUAAGGGAGAAAAAUGAAGCGGCCCAGAGACAACAAUGAAAGAAUUUGAAAGCAUUUUCCCAGAGUUGACGCCAAGAGAGCUAUAUUCCAAAACUUGGACCCAUGCUGACUCAUUGCCUAACUGCACAUUUUCCUGGUAACCAGGCGGAUGAUGUGCUAAUGCAAAUUGGCAGACUUGGACUGAAACUCCAAAAAUUGGAUCUGCCACGUGGAAGAACAAAAGGACAAAAGAGACUUCAAGGCUUCCCUUUUGCUUUGGGUUUCCAUUUCUGUUGCAAUGGUAGACACUGGCUGAAUGAUACAAUAAUAUUGCCCUGCGUUGCUGCACGAGUGAUUAAAGUGCAAGGGCACAGUAAGUCCUGCUUUUCUACAGCCAUCUCACAGGAAAGCACAGAAGAUUCUACAGAAAGAACAAGCCUUCUGCAACACGCAGAUAUUCCCAGAAAGACAAUUCCAAGUCUGUUUUAUUAGUUCCUGAGUUUUCAUUGCACUGCUGAGUGGUGUGCCAGGACUGUAGGCUCCUCCUUUAUUAAAAUUCUCAUCCAUCUGACCAAGACCCACCUAUUUUCUGACCAUGGACUUGGAAUUUACUGUGAAGUGAGUGAAUUGAUACAAACCAAUCAGAAUGCUCCAAGCAAUUUCAGCUCAGAUUUGAAGUAGUUGUUUCUAUUCAAAAAUGAGCUUUUUUCUUUAUUAACCAGGAACUUGUCAGUUAGGCGGGUCUGGGUGAGUCUAUUUUAAGAUGUUAAAAUUAGUAAAUAAAUCACCUUGGAUAAUUUCCUGCCA